GAUGAAGAACGCAGCGAAAUGCGAUAAGUAAUGUGAAUUGCAGAAUUCAGUGAAUCAUCGAAUCUUUGAACGCACCUUGCGCCCUUUGGCUAUUCCGAAGGGCAUGCCUGUUUGAGUAUCAUGAACACCUCAACUCUCGUGGCUUGCCAUGAUGAGCUUGGACUUUGGGGGUUUUGCUGGCCUAUGGCCGGCUCCUCUCAAAUGAAUUAGCUUGCCAGUGUUUGGUGGCAUCACAGGUGUGAUAAAUAUCUACGCUUGUGGUUUUCCACCAGGUAACCUUCAGUGGAUGGAGGUUCGCUGGGGCUCAUAAACGUCUCUCCUCAGUGAGGACAGCUCUUUGAACGUUUGAUCUCAAAUCAGGUAGGACUACCCGCUGAACUUAAGCAUAUCAAUAAGCGGAGGA
rnacentral:misc_RNA from 1 species